rnacentral:rRNA from 1 species
UGCAGUCGAGCGGUAGCACAGAGAGCUUGCUCCUCGGGUGACGAGCGGCGGACGGGUGAGUAAUGUCUGGGAAACUGCCUGAUGGAGGGGGAUAACUACUGGAAACGGUAGCUAAUACCGCAUAACGUCGCAAGACCAAAGUGGGGGACCUUCGGGCCUCAUGCCAUCAGAUGUGCCCAGAUGGGAUUAGCUAGUAGGUGGGGUAACGGCUCACCUAGGCGACGAUCCCUAGCUGGUCUGAGAGGAUGACCAGCCACACUGGAACUGAGACACGGUCCAGACUCCUACGGGAGGCAGCAGUGGGGAAUAUUGCACAAUGGGCGCAAGCCUGAUGCAGCCAUGCCGCGUGUGUGAAGAAGGCCUUCGGGUUGUAAAGCACUUUCAGCGGGGAGGAAGGCGUUGAGGUUAAUAACCUUGUCGAUUGACGUUACCCGCAGAAGAAGCACCGGCUAACUCCGUGCCAGCAGCCGCGGUAAUACGGAGGGUGCAAGCGUUAAUCGGAAUUACUGGGCGUAAAGCGCACGCAGGCGGUCUGUCAAGUCGGAUGUGAAAUCCCCGGGCUCAACCUGGGAACUGCAUUCGAAACUGGCAGGCUAGAGUCUUGUAGAGGGGGGUAGAAUUCCAGGUGUAGCGGUGAAAUGCGUAGAGAUCUGGAGGAAUACCGGUGGCGAAGGCGGCCCCCUGGACAAAGACUGACGCUCAGGUGCGAA